rnacentral:pre_miRNA from 1 species
CGUGCACUGGUGGGGUCCCUUGGCCUGGCCUACGCCCUCUCGCAAUCCAGGACCCCGUGGAGGAUGUUGGAGAGCCAGUUUCAGCCUGAUCUCCGCAGGCCAGGCCAAGGGACCCCACCAGUGCACG